AUUUAAAUAGCUUAUUUAAAGCGGGGCUUUGAAGAAGCCUAGAAGAUUUGGGUCUUUAAAUA
rnacentral:tRNA from 1 species